rnacentral:rRNA from 1 species
AGAGUUUGAUCAUGGCUCAGGAUGAACGCUAGCGACAGGCCUAACACAUGCAAGUCGAGGGGCAGCACGGUGUAGCAAUACACGGGUGGCGACCGGCGCACGGGUGAGUAACGCGUAUGCAACCUGCCUACUACAAGGGGAUAACCCGUUGAAAGACGGACUAAUACCCUAUAACACAGGGAAUCCGCAUGGAUAUAUUUGUUAAAGAUUAUCGGUAGUAGAUGGGCAUGCGUUCCAUUAGCUUGUUGGUGAGGUAACGGCUCACCAAGGCAACGAUGGAUAGGGGAACUGAGAGGUUGAUCCCCCACACUGGAACUGAGACACGGUCCAGACUCCUACGGGAGGCAGCAGUGAGGAAUAUUGGUCAAUGGACGAGAGUCUGAACCAGCCAAGUCGCGUGAAGGAAGACGGCCCUACGGGUUGUAAACUUCUUUUGUAAGGGAAUAAAUAGUCUUACGCGCUAAGACGUUGCAGGUACCUUACGAAUAAGGAUCGGCUAACUCCGUGCCAGCAGCCGCGGUAAUACGGAGGAUCCGAGCGUUAUCCGGAUUUAUUGGGUUUAAAGGGUGCGCAGGCGGCAUGUUAAGUCGGCGGUGAAAUUUUGCAGCUCAACUGUAAAAGAGCCUUCGAAACUGGCAAGCUUGAGUGUGGAUGAAGUAGGCGGAAUUUGUGGUGUAGCGGUGAAAUGCAUAGAUAUCACAAAGAACACCGAUUGCGCAGGCAGCUUACUAAACCAUAACUGACGCUCAGGCACGAAGGCGUGGGGAUCAAACAGGAUUAGAUACCCUGGUAGUCCACGCAGUAAACGAUGAUUACUCGCUGUUUGCGAUACACAGUAAGCGGCUUAGCGAAAGCGUUAAGUAAUCCACCUGGGGAGUACGUUCGCAAGAAUGAAACUCAAAGGAAUUGACGGGGGCCCGCACAAGCGGAGGAACAUGUGGUUUAAUUCGAUGAUACGCGAGGAACCUUACCCGGGCUUGAAAUGCAUCUGACAGGAGCAGAGACGCUCUCUCCCUUCGGGGAGCCUCUACAGGUGUUGCAUGGCUGUCGUCAGCUCGUGUCGUGAGAUGUUCGGUUAAGUCCGCUAACGAGCGCAACCCUCGCUGUGUGUUACAAGUGUCACACGGUACUGCUGAUAUUAAGUCGGAGGAAGGUGGGGAUGACGUCAAGUCAGCAUGACCUUUAUAUCCAGGGCUACACACACGCUACAAUGGCCAGUACAAUGGGUUGCCAAGCCGCGAGGCGGAGCCAAUCCUAAAAAGCUGGCCUCAGUUCAGAUUGCAGUCUGCAACUCGACUGCAUGAAGUUGGAGUUGCUAGUAACCGCAGGUCAGCAAUACUGCGGUGAAUACGUUCCCGGGGAUUGUACACACCGCCCGUCAAGUCAUGGAAGCUGGCAACACCUGAAGCCGGUAUCCUAACCCGAAAGGGAGGGAGCUGUCGAAGGUGGGGUCGGUGACUGGGACUAAGUCGUAACAAGGUA